CGUAAUCACGUCUUUGUCAUAACAUAGUAACCGCAUUUCGAUUUUUUAAACGAUAUUUGUUGAUAUUCCGUCGAUUCAUCUUUUGAAUUCUAGAAUUUUAAAUUGUACCAAACGAACUAUGACGUUGAAAUCGUUCCACGACAUAAUAUAAACUGUUUGCAUUCUUUGAGAAGAAACUUUGCAUGUCCAAAGUUAGACUCGACGGCUGGGUUGUCGUCGAGAUGUCUUCUGAUGUUGUCCGGAAACAGCCGAAUAAAUCAGGACUUUGGAUCGACUUACCGGACGAUCUGAAUGAACUCUAAAUUCCACAAUGUGUACCAGUACCACUUUGAUAGCUAACAUUUAAAGCUUUGACAGUCUUUUAAGUGUUUUUUAUACUCAUUUAGUCACUGUACAAAGCAAAACAAUUGAUGCAUUCAUUUAUUUAAUUACCAAACACAGAUAGAUAAAAAAAAUCAGGAUUGGACAUGAUUGAACAAAUUCCAAACUAGCAUUUUCAUUAUCGUUGUUCUGUUCCACUCACCUUUAUAGUGUGCACUUUGAUAGCUUCGCCUAUUUAUGUAUACAUUUGUGCAAUUAAUAAAUAUUGCAAAAUA